UUGUUAUUUUAUUGUGAUUGGUUUGUUUAUUGGACUAAGUUUGUUCGCAUUGCUGAUAAAUGUAUUCUACAUAUUUGGUUAGCUAUCCUUCAUUGAUUUAGUAUUCUUCCUUCAUCAUUUUAUUAUGAUUAGUGUAGUGUAUUUGAAAUAAAUAAAAUGGAAUCAUCCGGGUUAGUCUUUCUAUCCUUUUCUAUGUGUAUUUAAGUUGAUACUAUUAGUUGUUCAUGUAUUAUAUUUAUGGUAUGCUACCUCUUUUUGUUUAACAGGGUAUUCAACAUGGAGGUUCAAGAUAUUUAAGUGUCGCCAUGGUUGGGAAGUGCUAGACGAGCGA
rnacentral:misc_RNA from 1 species